UUUUUCUCUUUCUUUUUCUUUUCUUUUUUUCUUUUCUUUCCACAACUUUUCUAGAGCUUAUAAGAGUAAAUAGUAUCAUAAUAUCAUCCCUUCUUUUUCAUGAACCACUAUGAUAUUCACCACACAAAGAUUCUCAUAUACUACAUCACCCCCUAUCAUCCAGCUAAAGAAUAAAAGCUAAUUAGGCUCAAAGUGGAUAACAAAAGAUAAUUUUUUCAAGGACAGUGUUUGGGAAAAUAAUGUGGCUAACAAAAGAUGGCCUAAAAUCAUCUCCUAAUCC
rnacentral:lncRNA from 1 species